rnacentral:lncRNA from 1 species
GAUUCCUUACAGGAAGUGGCCUGUCUGACCAUUUCUUGCCCUCCUUGAUCAUCUCUAACAAAUACAGGGGAUCUCUGGCAUGACGUGACACUUCCUACGGCUCCCAUGGGCUCUCAGAAGGCGGGAAAAAGCUGAACGAUGUAAUUCCAUCCCCAGGCUGAAACACAUUAGCGCGUUUGGCAAGUGCUCUAUCAGAGGGCCAUUAGACUGAGGCUCGUGCAUGAGGGGAUAGCAUGCUUUUACUUUCACUCUCUUUGUAAUAAAAAACGAUUUCCCAGUCAGAAUAUUAUCGCUUUUUUACGAGAAAAAUGGCAUAAAAAUAGAUUUUAAACAGCGGUUGACAUGCUUCGAAGUACGGUAAUGGAAUAUUUAGAACUUUUUUGUCACGAAAUGCGCCAUGCUCGUCACCCUUAUUUACCCUUUCGGAUAGUGUCUUGAACGCACGAACAAAACUCCGCUAUUUGGAUAUAACAAUGGAUUAUUUGGGACCAAACCAACAUUUGUUAUUGAAGUAGAAGUCCUGGGAGUGCAUUCUGAUGAAGAACAGCAAAGGUGAAGUACAGUAGAGGAUGUCAGGACAACAAGGCUGGACAAUCAAGGGUGGCUUGACCGGGUGGUUGAUGUACACAGGGACCGAGGAUUCCCCAGGCUGAGUGAUCCAGACCAUGAAAUGGCUGAGCCAGCCAUGAUACUGUUAUAUCGAGAAAACGGACUAAGAAUGGACUAAGAUUGAAUACAGGACUAAGAUUGAAUCGUACUACACCGGCUCCGACGCUCGCCAGACGUGGCAGGGCCUGCAAAUUAUUACAGACUACAAAGGGAAGCACAGCCGCGAGCUGCACAGUGACACGAGCCUACCAGAUGAGCUAAAUCACUUCUAUGCUUGCUUUGAGGCAAGCAACACUGAGGCAUGCAUGAGAACAUCAGCUGUUCCGGACAACUGUGAUCACGCUCUCCGUAGCCGAUGUGAGUAAGACCUGUAAACAGACAUUCACAAGGCCGCUGGGCCAGGCACAACUCCAACACCAUCAUUAAGUUUGCAGAUGACACAACAGUGGUAGUCCUGAUCACCGACAACGACAAGACAGCCUAUAGGGAGGAGGUCAGAGACCUGGCCGGGUGGUGCCAGAAUAACAACCUAUCCCUCAAUGUAAUCAAGACAAAGGAGCUGAUUGUGGAAUACAUGAAAAGGAGAACCGAGCACGCCCCCAUUCUCAUGGAUGGGGCUGUAGUGGAGCAGGUUGAGAGCUUCAAGUUCAAAGUCUAGGACCAAAAAACAGCUUUUACCCCCAAGCCAUAAGACUCCUGAACAGGUAAUCAAAUGGCUACCCGGACUAUUUGCAUUGUGUCCCCCCCCAAACCCCCAUCCCGCCAACCCCUCUUUUAUGCUGCUGCUACACUCUGUUUAUCAUCUAUGCAUAGUCACUUUAACUAUAUAUUCAUGUACAUAUUACCUCAAUUAGCCAGACUAACCGGUGCCCCCGCACAUUGGCUACCCAGACUAUUUGCAUUGUGUCCUGCCACCCCCCACCCGCCAACCCCUCUUUUACGCUGCUGCUACUCUCUGUUUAUCAUCUAUGCAUAGUCACUUUAACUAUACCUACAUGUACAUAUUACCUCAGUUUGCCCGACUAACCGGCACAUUGACUCUGUACCGGUUCCACCUGUAUAUAGCAACACUACUGUUAUUUUUGCUGUCAUUUUACAGUUUUUUAUUUCUUUACUUAUCUAUUGUUUACAUAAUACCUAUUUUUUACUUAAAAAUUGCACUGUUGGUUAG